AGCGAACGCUGGCGGCAGGCCUAACACAUGCAAGUCGAACGAAGUCUUAGGACUUAGUGGCGGACGGGUGAGUAACACGUGGGAACGUGCCUUUAGGUUCGGAAUAACUCAGGGAAACUUGUGAUAAUACCGAAUGUGCCCUUCGGGGGAAAGAUUUAUCGCCUUUAGAGCGGCCCGCGUCUGAUUAGCUAGUUGGUGAGGUAAAGGCUCACCAAGGCUACGAUCAGUAGCUGGUCUGAGAGGAUGACCAGCCACAUUGGGACUGAGACACGGCCCAAACUCCUACGGGAGGCAGCAGUGGGGAAUCUUGCGCAAUGGGCGAAAGCCUGACGCAGCCAUACCGCGUGGAUGAUGAAGGUCUUAGGAUUGUAAAAUCCUUUCACCGGUGAAGAUAAUGACUGUAGCCUGAGAAGAAGCCCCGGCUAACUUCGUGCCAGCAGCCGCAGUAACAC
rnacentral:rRNA from 1 species